rnacentral:rRNA from 1 species
UGAUACUAAGCCAUGCGAGUCAUUGUAGCAAUACAAGGCAUACGGCUCAGUAACGCGUAGUCAACCUAACCUAUGGACGGGAAUAACCUCGGGAAACUGAGAAUAAUGCCCGAUAGAACAUUAUGCCUGGAAUGGUUUAUGUUCCAAAUGAUUUAUCGCCGUAGGAUGGGACUGCGGCCUAUCAGUUUGUUGGUGAGGUAAUGGCCCACCAAGACUAUUACAGGUACGGGCUCUGAGAGGAGUAGCCCGGAGAUGGGUACUGAGACACGGACCCAGGCCCUAUGGGGCGCAGCAGGCGAGAAAACUUUGCAAUGUGCGAAAGCACGACAAGGUUAAUCCGAGUGGUUUCUGCUAAAGGAACCUUUUGUCAGUCCUAGAAACACUGAUGAAUAAGGGGUGGGCAAGUUCUGGUGUCAGCCGCCGCGGUAAAACCAGCACCUCAAGUGGUCAGGAUGAUUAUUGGGCCUAAAGCAUCCGUAGCCGGCUCUGUAAGUUUUCGGUUAAAUCUGUACGCUCAACGUACAGGCUGCCGGGAAUACUGCAAAGCUAGGGAGUGGGAGAGGUAGACGGUACUCGGUAGGAAGGGGUAAAAUCCUUUGAUCUAUUGAUGACCACCUGUGGCGAAGGCGGUCUACCAGAACACGUCCGACGGUGAGGGAUGAAAGCUGGGGGAGCAAACCGGAUUAGAUACCCGGGUAGUCCCAGCUGUAAACCAUGCAAACUCAGUGAUGCAUUGGCUUGUGGCCAAUGCAGUGCUGCAGGGAAGCCGUUAAGUUUGCCGCCUGGGAAGUACGUACGCAAGUAUGAAACUUAAAGGAAUUGGCGGGGAAGCACCACAAGGGGUGAAGCCUGCGGUUCAAUUGG